UGGUCGGCGGCUGCUGGGCUGCGCGCCGGGGUCCAAGUCCCACGAAGCCCCGGUCCGAGCCGCCGGAUGCCCGCGCGCAGCGGGGCCCAGUUUUCCCGAAGGAUGGGGCAAAAGAAGCAGCGACCAGCUAGAGCAGGGCAGCCACACCGCUCGUCCGACGCAGCCCAGGCACCUGCAGAGCAGCCACACCGCUCGUCCGACGCAGCCCAGGCACCUUGCCCCAGGGAGCGCUGCUUGGGACCGCCCACCACUGCGGGCCCAUACCGCAGCAUCUAUUUCUCAAGCCCAAAGGGCCACCUUACCCGACUGGGGUUGGAGUUUUUCGACCAGCCGGCAGUCCCCCUGGCCCGGGCAUUUCUGGGACAGGUAAUGUGAACAUAGCAGCGAGGGCCCUCCUGAAGUGCCUGUCACUGCAGUUGUCCCUGAACCCCUGUCCGCUGCCUGCUGGAUUGGCCCUCGGUUAGUCCUCCUUGUCCUCAUGCAUUUAGCGGCUUUGCUCACACUGGUCCC
rnacentral:sRNA from 1 species